rnacentral:rRNA from 1 species
GAUGAACGCUGGCGGCGUGCCUAAUACAUGCAAGUCGAGCGAACAGACGAGGAGCUUGCUCCUCUGACGUUAGCGGCGGACGGGUGAGUAACACGUGGAUAACCUACCUAUAAGACUGGGAUAACUUCUGGAAACCGGAGCUAAUACCGGAUAAUAUAUUGAACCGCAUGGUUCAAUAGUGAAAGACGGUUUUGCUGUCACUUAUAGAUGGAUCCGCGCCGCAUUAGCUAGUUGGUAAGGUAACGGCUUACCAAGGCAACGAUGCGUAGCCGACCUGAGAGGGUGAUCGGCCACACUGGAACUGAGACACGGUCCAGACUCCUACGGGAGGCAGCAGUAGGGAAUCUCCCGCAAUGGGCGAAAGCCUGACGGAGCAACGCCGCGUGAGUGAUGAAGGUCUUCGGAUCGUAAAACUCUGUUAUUAGGGAAGAACAAAUGUGUAAGUAACUAUGCACGUCUUGACGGUACCUAAUCAGAAAGCCACGGCUAACUACGUG